rnacentral:lncRNA from 14 species
CUGAGGCCCAGGGGACAGAGCCUCACAGCAGGAGCACAUCUGAGUCCUCAUGGAUGGGAGGAUGAUGAGAAGUGUGAGGCUGAAGGAGGAGGAGGAGGCACCCGGACAGGACUACAGGGUGAGUAGUCUGCACAGGGCUGGUCCCUCACUGCAGGG